rnacentral:lncRNA from 1 species
CUAUUCAUAGGUGUAUGCUAGUUAUAUUUGUCUUUGGUCAUGAUUUCUUUCUCCUCUUCCCUAUGUUUUCACCUGAAUAAAUAAGUAGUAACACUAUGUAGAUUACAUGGAAUUGGAAGUGUCAAGUUAUAUUAAUCAGUCUCUAUGCUUUUGGGGAAUUUAGUUCAAUUUUAUUUAGAGAAAUUGUUUUUCGACAUAGUCAUGGGGUUUUUUGGAUGAUGCGCAAUGUAGCAUAUGAUACCAUAUUUCUUGUGUUGAAAAUGAUGAGUCCUUUAAUUUCAAAUUGUGUAAUUCUUUAGAAUC